GCAAUGACGCUGGCGGCAGGCCUACACAUGCAAGUCGAACGGCAGCACAGAAGAGCUUGCUCUUUCGGGUGGCGAGUGGCGGACGGGUGAGUAAUGUCUGGGAAACUGCCCGAUGGAGGGGGAUAACUACUGGAAACGGUAGCUAAUACCGCAUAACGUCGCGAGACCAAAGUGGGGGACCUUCGGGCCUCACACCAUCGGAUGUGCCCAGAUGGGAUUAGCUAGUAGGUGGGGUAAUGGCUCACCUAGGCGACGAUCCCUAGCUGGUCUGAGAGGAUGACCAGCCACACUGGAACUGAGACACGGUCCAGACUCCUACGGGAGGCAGCAGUGGGGAAUAUUGCACAAUGGGCGCAAGCCUGAUGCAGCCAUGCCGCGUGUAUGAAGAAGGCCUUCGGGUUGUAAAGUACUUUCAGCGGGGAGGAAGGCGGUGAGGUUAAUAACCUCGCCGAUUGACGUUACCCGCAGAAGAAGCACCGGCUAACUCCGUGCCAGCAGCCGCGGUAAUACGGAGGGUGCAAGCGUUAAUCGGAAUUACUGGGCGUAAAGCGCACGCAGGCGGUCUGUUAAGUCAGAUGUGAAAUCCCCGGGCUUAACCUGGGAACUGCAUUUGAAACUGGCAGGCUUGAGUCUCGUAGAGGGGGGUAGAAUUCCAGGUGUAGCGGUGAAAUGCGUAAGAUCUGGAGGAAUACCGGUGGCGAAGCGGCCCCUGGACAAAACUGACCUCAGUGCAAAGCGUGGGGAGCAACAGAUAAUACCUGGUAUCCCGCCGUAACAUGUCACUUGGAGUUGUGCCCUUUGAGCCUGGCUUUCGGACUACGG
rnacentral:rRNA from 1 species